CCCAUCGAGGGAGACAGGCCCUGCUCUGCCCACGCGGCCCCCCAGGCUGAGGUCUGCAGCCCUCACUCCCACCGGGUCAUCUCGAGCAAGGGAAAGGCAGGAGCGAGGAGCUUUUCCUGAUCGUGGAGGAAGACAAUUCUAUCUGAGAGGAAGCACUUCCUCUGGAUUUCUUGGGGGAUCCUGAAUAGGGAAAUUUCCUGCAGCUGGCCAGCAUGGCGUCUGUCUACACUGGGAUGGAUCCCACUGAUGGAGUCGGAAGAAGGUUCUACUAGGAUCGCAUGCACCUCCUUUUCCAAAAAGCACCAUAAAGGCACGUCGGCCAUGGGGCAUAAGCUGUCCAGGCUCCCGGCCCGUGCCAGGCACCUGGCUGGGCCCACCCCUAUGCCCAGGUGGCCAGCAAGGUGGUGCAGGGUGUUCCCAGAACUGUCGUGGCCGAGAACCCGGGUGCUCCCCAACCAAGCUGAUCCCACCUGGAGAUCCGUAGCUGAAUCACAUCCACAAAGACUCUAGUUCCACCAUCGGCCACAUUCACAGGUCUGCACCCCGCUGUGCCCCGUCCAUGUCCCGUCUGCACCCCGUCUGUGCCCCGAGUCUGCACCCCGCUGUGCCCCGAGUCUGGAUCCUGUCUGUGCCCUGUCUGUGCCCCAAGUCUGUGCCCCAUCUGCAUCCUGUCUGUGCCCCGGGUCUGCACCCCGCUGUGCCCCGUCCAUGUCCCAUCUGCACCCCGUCUGUGCCCCGAGUCUGCACCCUGUCUGUGCCCCGAGUCUGGAUCCUGUCUGUGCCCUGAGUCUGUGCCCCAAGUCUGUGCUCCAUCUGCACCCCGUCUGUGCCCCGAGUCUGGAUCCUGUCUGGGCCCCAAGUCUGUGCCCCAUCUGCAUCUUGUCUGUGCCCCGGGUCUGCACCCCGCUGUGCCCCGUCCAUGUCCCAUCUGUGCCCACUGCCUACGUCUUUGCUCCCAUUUGCUGGACUUAGGGGUGCACCUCUGCUGAGCCCCACGCCCACCUGCUGCAAAUGCCUCACUCCCUGGCUUGAAAGAAGCACACCUGCCAAACCAUGGUAAUUUUC